AGAACGAACGCUGGCGGCAUGCCUAACACAUGCAAGUCGAACGAGACCUUCGGGUCUAGUGGCGCACGGGUGCGUAACGCGUGGGAAUCUGCCCUUGGGUUCGGGAUAACAGUUGGAAACGACUGCUAAUACCGGAUAAUGACUUCGGUCCAAAGAUUUAUUGCCCAGGGAUGAGCCCGCGUAGGAUUAGCUAGUUGGUGAGGUAAAGGCUCACCAAGGCGACGAUCCUUAGCUGGUCUGAGAGGAUGAUCAGCCACACUGGGACUGAGACACGGCCCAGGACUCCUACGGGAGGCAGCAGUGGGGAAUAUUGGGCAAUGGGCGAAAGCCUGAUCCAGCAAUGCGCGUGAGUGAUGAAGGCCUUAGGUGUAAAGCUACUUUACCGGGAUGAUAAUGACAGUACCGGAGAAUAACGCCCGGACUAACUCCGACGCCAGCAGCCGC
rnacentral:rRNA from 1 species